UAGGGAAUCUUGCGCAAUGGGCGAAAGCCUGACGCAGCCAUGCCGCGUGUGUGAAGAAGGCCUUCGGGUUGUAAAGCUCUUUUACCCGGGAUGAUAAUGACAGUACCGGGAGAAUAAGCCCCGGCUAACUCCGUGCCAGCAGCCGCGGUAAUACGGAGGGGGCUAGCGUUGUUCGGAAUUACUGGGCGUAAAGCGCACGUAGGCGGCUUUGUAAGUUAGAGGUGAAAGCCCGGAGCUCAACUCCGGAAUUGCCUUUAAGACUGCAUCGCUUGAAUCAUGGAGAGGUGAGUGGAAUUCCGAGUGUAGAGGUGAAAUUCGUAGAUAUUCGGAAGAACAUCAGUGGCGAAGGCGACUCACUGGACAUGUAUUGACGCUGAGGUGCGAAAGCGUGGGGAGCAAA
rnacentral:rRNA from 1 species